rnacentral:rRNA from 1 species
CGGGUGAGUAACGCGUGAGGAACCUGCCUCAAAGAGGGGACAACAGUUGGAAACGACUGCUAAUACCGCAUAAGCCCACGGCUCGGCAUCGAGCAGAGGGAAAAGGAGCAAUCCGCUUUGAGAUGGCCUCGCGUCCGAUUAGCUAGUUGGUGAGGUAACGGCCCACCAAGGCGACGAUCGGUAGCCGGACUGAGAGGUUGAACGGCCACAUUGGGACUGAGACACGGCCCAG